GGCAGCAUAUAGAUUGCUUGCAAUUUAUGAUGGCGACCGGCGCACGGGUGAGUAACGCGUAUCCAACCUACCCAUUACUAGGGAAUAACCCAGCGAAAGUUGGCCUAAUGCCCUAUGUAGUCGUUUGAUCGCCUGAGAUUUCGACGAAAGAUUUAUCGGUAUUGGAUGGGGAUGCGUCUGAUUAGCUUGUUGGCGGGGUAAAGGCCCACCAAGGCAACGAUCAGUAGGGGUUCUGAGAGGAAGGUCCCCCACAUUGGAACUGAGACACGGUCCAAACUCCUACGGGAGGCAGCAGUGAGGAAUAUUGGUCAAUGGGCGAGAGCCUGAACCAGCCAAGUAGCGUGCAGGAUGACGGCCCUAUGGGUUGUAAACUGCUUUUAUAUGGGAAUAAAGUGAGGGACGUGUCCCUUAUUGCAUGUACCAUACGAAUAAGGACCGGCUAAUUCCGUGCCAGCAGCCGCGGUAAUACGGAAGGUCCAGGCGUUAUCCGGAUUUAUUGGGUUUAAAGGGAGCGUAGGCUGUUUGUUAAGCGUGUUGUGAAAUGUAGGAGCUCAACUUUUAGAUUGCAGCGCGAACUGGCAGACUUGAGUGCGCACAACGUAGGCGGAAUUCAUGGUGUAGCGGUGAAAUGCUUAGAUAUCAUGACGAACUCCGAUUGCGAAGGCAGCUUACGGGAG
rnacentral:rRNA from 1 species